AGUGAACGCUGGCGGUAGGCCUAACACAUGCAAGUCGAACGGCAGCACAGUAAGAGCUUGCUCUUACGGGUGGCGAGUGGCGGACGGGUGAGGAAUACAUCGGAAUCUACUUUUUCGUGGGGGAUAACGUAGGGAAACUUCCGCUAAUACCGCAUACGACCUACGGGUGAAAGCAGGGGAUCUUCGGCACUUGCGCGAUUGAAUGAGCCGAUGUCGGAUUAGCUAGUUGGCGGGGUAAAGGCCCACCAAGGCGACGAUCCGUAGCUGGUCUGAGAGGAUGAUAAGCCACACUGGAACUGAGACACGGUCCAGACUCCUACGGGAGGCAGCAGUGGGGAAUAUUGGACAAUGGGCGCAAGCCUGAUCCAGCCAUACCGCGUGGGUGAAGAAGGCCUUCGGGUUGUAAAGCCCUUUUGUUGGGAAAGAAAAGCAGCAGGUUAAUACCCCGCUGUUCUGACGGUACCCAAAGAAUAAGCACCGGCUAACUUCGUG
rnacentral:rRNA from 1 species